AGCCUUUGCUCUACAGCACAGCACACUGAGGAAGAAGCCUGGUCUGAUACUACUUUAUAGUCUUCUAGAAUCACGGGAUAUAUCACAUGCUGGGACAUUCCUACCACUCUUUACUUUUUUGCUUUAAAGGAGACUCACUACUGGAUUGGCUUAGAAGUGUUGGCAGGAGAGCAUGGCUGCAACAUCGAUGGCUCAUGCUUAUUUCAUUCUUUACCUUGACCAGG
rnacentral:lncRNA from 1 species